AUGGCGGAGGCGUCGGGCGACGGGAGCAUGCAAGACAGGAUCAGCGCCCUCCCGGACGAGCUCCUCAUCCAUGUUCUCUCCCAUCUGCGCUCACGCGAAGCUGUGCAGACAUGCGUGCUGGCACGGCGCUGGCGGGACCUCUGGCAGUGGGUGCCCUGCAUCGACGUGUCUUUCAAGGAAUUCGCAGACGUGCCGUAUGAAGAUGAUGAUGAAGACGACUUUGAGUUCAAGAAGUUCGUCAACCGUUUGCUGAUGCUCCGUAGACCCGUUGACCUGGAGGCGUUCCGGCUCGAGUACAGGUUGCCGACCGACACCGAGUACCCUGAAGAUGACUCCGCCGAUGCCAACCUAUGGAUCGCCCAUGCGUUACAGUACAAGGCUCAGGCUGUCAAGGUUGUAGAUUACAACGAUCGUUUGCAUGUCGCUCCUGCGGUAUUCACUUCAGCGUACUUGAAAAGACUGCACAUCUGCCAUGCUUUUCUGCUCCAAGGUUUCUUUAAGCACCUCGACAUGGGCUGCCCAGUAUUGGAGGAUCUAUUCGUAUCGAAUACCAGCAUUCAGCACCGUGAUAUUUUCUCCAAUACACUGAAGUAUUUGACCCUCACUGAUGACAUUAUCCACGGACCUGAGCAUGAUCACCAGCCUUCUAUUUCUGCUCCAAAGCUCAUUUCUCUGUCUGUCGACGGGAGUCCUUCUGGGCCCAGGCUACCUAUACUAAAGAACAUGACAUCUCUAGAGACGGCGUCAAUCGUACUUGUACGGGGGUUAAUCAGUAAUUGUAAUGCUGAUGAUAUCAAGCAGUUUCUUGGAGAGCUCUCUCAUGUUAGAAGUUUGGACCUCUGUUAUGGCGUCGAAAAGGUGGAGAUUGAAAAGAAUUACAGAUGGUGCCCAACAUUUCGUAAUCUUACAGACCUGACGCUUCAUAGUUGGUGUGUGCAUGGGGAUUUCUAUGCACUGAUAGUCUUCCUUCAGAACUCACCUAGUCUUAAGAAGCUAACUCUUGAACUAAACGAGCAUUGGUAUGAAAAUGGGGUUAUACGUGCAAUCACUGGCGAGCUGGAGGAUAGAUCAUUUACAUGUGAGCAGCUUGAGAUUGUUGAAAUCAUAUGCUCGGAGGGAAAUGAGCUGCUACCUUGGGUGAAUCAGUUCUUGCUUGAUAGUGGCAUAAGGCCUGAUCAGAUGCGUGUCAUUUAUGAGGACUAA
rnacentral:rRNA from 1 species